UCCCUGGUAGCUCAGAUGGUAGAGAAUCUGCUUGCAAUUCAGAAGACCCAGGUUCGAUCCCUGGGUUGGGAA
rnacentral:tRNA from 1 species